UACGUAGGCAGCGAGCGUUGUUCGGAAUUACUGGGCGUAAAGAGUGUGUAGGCGGUGCUCUAAGUUCGGUGUGAAAUCUCCCGGCUUAACUGGGAGGGUGCGCCGGAAACUGGAGUGCUCGAACGUGGGAGAGGAAAGCGGAAUUCCUGGUGUAGCGGUGAAAUGCGUAGAUAUCAGGAGGAACACCUGCGGUGUAGACGGCUUUCUGGACCAUUGUUGACGCUGAGACACGAAAGCGUGGGUAGCAAUCAGG
rnacentral:rRNA from 1 species